UAGUACGUAGCUCAGUGGUUAGAGCGCUGGUUUAGUAAACCAGAGAUCGCUAAUUUGAUACAAUACAUUUUAA
rnacentral:tRNA from 1 species